rnacentral:lncRNA from 1 species
CUUUCUCAACUUUAGCUGCAGUGUUAAAUGCAAGAGUGAGCAAACAAUUGCUCACUGGUAUAAAGAGUGAUAAUAGCAAUAAUUUAAGAGUAAGCAAUGAAUACAGAAUAAACAAGAACUUGUUCUUCGAGACAAAACUAGUAAACAAGUUUGAAGUUUGUAUCUGAGGGUCUUUAAGACCUUGAACUAUGUCCUGAGAUUAUUAAGUAUUUCUACUUCAAUCUUUAACAGUCUUUAGACUAUACAGACUUUUACUUUCGUACUUAAGGGGAUCAGCCCUUCGUACAAUGUAUUGUGCACAAACAUCUAAACGUUAAAACGUACAUAAUCCCAGGAUUUCCACACUAAAGGAAAUUUAGUUUGGAACUAGCUUAUCAGUAGUUCUAGAAUUUUAGAACACUAUUCAAUUAUAGAUUAGUCCAAUCAAUCAGAGUUUGCUUUCUAUUUGAAAGUUCAACACAACAGUAUAGGAUUGAACAAUGAUAUCUAAGUCAAGGAUUUAAUAAUAACAAUGUACAAUUGAAUAGACAUAGUACAUAUGCAAAGUACUACGUCCAAAAGGGUUAGGAAAUCUCUUUAGUAACAACGAAGUUAAACAGUUCAAACUUUGAAUAGCAAGAACGAGAGUUAGGAUUGUAAAACUCGCUCAAUGUAAAGAAUUAGAAUACAAGAGCUUGUAUUAACAUAAACACAAUGGAAUCAAUAAGCUUGCUUAACUACAAUAUAAGAUUUAGGAACUUGCAUAAUAAUAAAUUAAAAAACUUGUUUGACAACAAAAGGUAAACAUGGUUAUGAAACUUGCAUUCAUUAUAAAGAGAAUGAAGUUAGGGAACUUUCCUCGUGUGUAAGCUACACAAGUAUAAUAACGUUCGUCAAUUACCCUACACAUCAUUGAAAUCGCAAUACCAAUUAGUUAUAUUAUCAUUAGCUUUAUAGGUUUAACCCACCAUUUAAGCCAUAACAUAUAACUUAAUGUCUAAUCAUGUUAGUUAACCACUCUUACGAAUCUGAAAUCUCACUACCGCCUUAUCAUUAACAUCCAACUCUUGUAAACAUUAAUUUUUAUUCAUUACAUAACUUGUUCAAGUGAUCGUUUAAAAUCUUCACUUUUUGGUAUCACCGCACAUAACCAUCUGUUAUUGUAUCUUAUAUUAUGAUUUAACAUCUUUAUCAUGCAUACCAAACUAGAUUAGGUCUUAGUAUUAUAGUCUGUAAUUAAUCAAAACUCACUGCCUCUGCUCAGGGCACGGCGCAGCUGCGCUGCCCCAAGGCUUGGCACCGGUGCAGCUGCGCUGGUGCUCGACUCUAGAAACCCAACAAGCGCAGCUGCGCCGUUUCUGCCUUUGGUAUCGGUGCAGCUGCGCCAGUACACCUUUGUUCUAAAAAUCGGCCUAAGCGACUGCCUAGGCACUAGGCGGGGGCCUGGCGCCGCGCCUAAGGCCAAAUCGGUGAAAAACGCGGGCUAGGCGGGCUAGGCGAGAAGGCGGGCUAGGCGGGGCGUAGACGGGAAAGGCCGACCUAGGCGGAGUUUUUUUUAAAAAAAAUUACUACCAAAACCAAAUCUUGAUAUAUUUAUUUUUCUAAUGAUUUACCAUAUUCUUAAUGCAAGUUGUAGCAUAUCAAAUCACAACAAGAAGUGAACAAGAUCAAGUCAAAAUGGAUAAUUUUAUUAUAGUUGUAAUUUUUGAACUUGUACCAACUUGAAAUUCUAUAAAUGAUGAUACAGUUGUAAUAUUUAGUUUAAUUCAAUAUAAUUCUUAAAUUUAUUUUAGUUUCUUAAGUUUUAAUAUUGAAUUGAUUUCUUAAAAUAUUAAAUUUUAUUAUUUAAUACCAAUUUUGUUUAUGAAUAAAAUUAAUAUGUCAAAGAUAUGUUAGUCAUACUUAGUAUAUGGUAUUUGUCAUUUUCUUUAAAUCCUCAAUUUUGAAAAUUACACAAAUUAAAAUAAUUUCAUAAUUAAUAAUAUCAAAUGUCUCAUUCAAUAAACUUCACACUAAUUUUAAAAAUAACAUUUAUUUAAAUUUUUGAGAGAGAAGAAGUACGUAUAUAAUUAUAUAUAUGAAGAUAUCAAGAUACUUCUUACUAGUAACACUAAUUCUAUAAUUUAAUUAUUUUAAGCAAUGGAUAUAUAUCUUAAUACUUAAAUGCAAUUACUACUAAUUCUAUAAUUUAAUUAUUAUCUUUAUUAUAGAUUAUUUUGCUUUAUAUUAUUGUUUUGUUAGAAUAAUGUAAGAUAAAAUAUUAAAAUUGUCUUAAAAUAAAAAAUCUCGCCUAGGCCCCCUUGGCCGUCUGCCUCCCGCCUUUUAGAACAUUGCAGUACACAGACAGAAACUGCAGUUGUAGCCCUGUUUCACAGCACACUUCAAUUUUUUUUUAAUUCCACAGAAAUUCACAAAACCCAACAACUAAAAUUGUGUAAUAACAUCAAUAAGCAUGCAAUUCAUAAUUCUAUCCACAUAAACAUUAUAUAUAAUUAACUUUUAAGGAUCAAAAUCAUAUUUUUCCAAUUUCUUCAUAUUUUAACACUUUUGGCGAAUUUGAUUGCCAAAUCUUUGUUUCUUAACCAAUUGACACCAUUCAAACUACGUUGUUUUUGUUUCUUGACAUAUUAACAUAAUAUACAAACAAUUUGCAGAUUCUAUCAAGGACUAGACAUGAAAUUUUGGACUUAAACAAGCUAUUUUCACACAUUUAUACACUGUUUUUAAAGUCUUCUACUACAACCCAAUUUUCAUAAAUUUGAUACUCUAAAACCAAAUGAAAACAACGUAUAUCAAAUUUUAAACCAUCUUCAACACAAAUAACAAUUAUUUCAACAAAUCAUCAACCAAUUCUUUCCCUUUUUCCCAAGAAAACUCAAGAACACCAACAUAAUUUUCAAGAAUUCUCUUACUAAAAACCAUAUAUAGAUAACAACCAAUUGAUUACAUAAACUAAUUUAACAAUUAUAAUUUCAAAUUCACACAAUCCUAUAUUAGAAUUUAGAUUUUUAUACCUUCAAUCCUUUGUUUGCACGAUGAUAAUAACAAGGUUUAGAAAUCCUCCUCGACAAAAAUUACAGAGAAUUCUCACUUGCACUCACUCUCAACUUUCUCCGUGUUUCCUUCUCACGCUUUGUGUUUAUCAGUUGAAAUAUGCCAAAGGCCAUAAGGCCAUGUUUGGCUACACACAAUCCCCUUAUUUUUUUAUUUACUUUGAUAAUACUUAUAUUAUAUAGUUUUACUUGUCACACUUUUAUUUAAUUAAUUUAAAUAACUUACAAUAAUAAUUAUAAUUUUCAUUAUAAUUAUACUUUAUACUUAAUAAAUCAUUAUAUAUCUAAUUUAAUUAUUAAAUUAGACAUAUAUCUAAUUUAAUUAUUAAAUUAGACUUGAACAUCAUUUUAUUUAAUUUAAUUAUUUUCGUAAAUAUUAAACAAUUCAUUUAAUUUAAUUAUCUUAUUAAAUUAAAUCUUCAAAUAAUAAAAUUUCUAUUAAUCAAUUUAGUUACUAAAUUAUUGCACCACAAUUUUAUCAAUUGUUUAUUUUUCUCAAUAAAUAAAUUUAUUAAAAAUAUUUAUUUAAUUCAAUAAAUAUUUAAAUUAAUUACAAAAUUUUUCGAUCGUUACAGAAUCAGCCACACAUCUCACUAGAAAAAAAGAAGAAAAACACAGAGGAAGAGAAGAAGAACCUCGCUACCAGAUGUCGUUGCUGCCUUUAGCACUUGCUACCAUUGCUCUGCUUGUCUCCGUUGUUGAUCCUUUCAUUUCAUCGUCACCAGCUUCCUCCCGAUUGCCUUUUGUAGCUUGCCUGAGUAUGUUCUUAGCUUGAGUCUAUUAACAGGGCUUUUGUUUAAUUUUGCCAAAUUAUUUUUUGAUUCCCAUAUGUUUUCAUUUUUUAACUAUUUCUCCUUUACGUUUUAAAGUUUACAUUUAGGUCUCUGAACUUUUUUG